GGCGCCAUAGCCAAGUGGUAAGGCAGAAGUCUGCAAAACUUUUAUCCCCCAGUUCAAAUCUGGGUGGCGCCU
rnacentral:tRNA from 1 species